rnacentral:rRNA from 1 species
AUACGAAGGGGGCAAGCGUUGUUCGGAAUAACUGGGCGUAAAGCGCACGUAGGCGGAAUGUUAAGUUAGAGGUGAAAUCCCAGGGCUCAACCCUGGAACUGCCUUUAAUACUGGCAAUCUAGAGACCGAGAGAGGUGAGUGGAAUUCCGAGUGUAGAGGUGAAAUUCGUAGAUAUUCAGAGGAACACCAGUGGCGAAGGCGGCUCACUGGCUCGGUACUGACGCUGAGGUGCGAAAGCGUGGGGAGCAAACAGGAUUAGAUACCCUAGUAGUCC